AGUGAACGCUGGCGGUAGGCCUAACACAUGCAAGUCGAACGGCAGCACAGUAAGAGCUUGCUCUUACGGGUGGCGAGUGGCGGACGGGUGAGGAAUACAUCGGAAUCUACUUUUUCGUGGGGGAUAACGUAGGGAAACUUACGCUAAUACCGCAUACGACCUACGGGUGAAAGCAGGGGAUCUUCGGACCUUGCGCGAUUGAAUGAGCCGAUGUCGGAUUAGCUAGUUGGCGGGGUAAAGGCCCACCAAGGCGACGAUCCGUAGCUGGUCUGAGAGGAUGAUCAGCCACACUAGAACUGAGACGCGGUCCAGACUCCUACGGGAGGCAGCAGUGGGGAAUAUUGGACAAAGGGCGCAAGCCUGAUCCAGCCAUACCGCGUGGGUGAAGAAGGCCUUCGGGUUGUAAAGCCCUUUUGUUGGGAAAGAAAAGCAGCAGGUUAAUACCCCGCUGUUCUGACGGUACCCAAAGAAUAAGCACCGGCUAACUUCGUG
rnacentral:rRNA from 1 species